rnacentral:rRNA from 1 species
ACUUGUGGGUGGAUUAGUGGCGAACGGGUGAGUAACACGUGAGUAACCUGCCCUUAACUCUGGGAUAAGCCUGGGAAACUGGGUCUAAUACCGGAUAUGACUCCUCAUCGCAUGGUGGGGGGUGGAAAGCUUUUUGUGGUUUUGGAUGGACUCGCGGCCUAUCAGCUUGUUGGUGAGGUAAUGGCUCACCAAGGCGACGACGGGUAGCCGGCCUGAGAGGGUGACCGGCCACACUGGGACUGAGACACGGCCCAGACUCCUACGGGAGGCAGCAGUGGGGAAUAUUGCACAAUGGGCGAAAGCCUGAUGCAGCGACGCCGCGUGAGGGAUGACGGCCUUCGGGUUGUAAACCUCUUUCAGUAGGGAAGAAGCGAAAGUGACGGUACCUGCAGAAGAAGCGCCGGCUAACUACGUGCCAGCAGCCGCGGUAAUACGUAGGGCGCAAGCGUUAUCCGGAAUUAUUGGGCGUAAAGAGCUCGUAGGCGGUUUGUCGCGUCUGCCGUGAAAGUCCGGGGCUCAACUCCGGAUCUGCGGUGGGUACGGGCAGACUAGAGUGAUGUAGGGGAGACUGGAAUUCCUGGUGUAGCGGUGAAAUGCGCAGAUAUCAGGAGGAACACCGAUGGCGAAGGCAGGUCUCUGGGCAUUAACUGACGCUGAGGAGCGAAAGCAUGGGGAGCGAACAGGAUUAGAUACCCUGGUAGUCCAUGCCGUAAACGUUGGG